GAGUGCCCCAAGCGUUAUCCGGAUUUAUUGGGCGUAAAGCGUACGUAGGCGGUCAUGUAAGUCAGUGGUAAAAUCCCAAGGCUCAACCUUGGACCUGCCACUGAAACUGCACGACUAGAGGCUGGAAGAGGCAAGUGGAAUUGCUGGUGUAGGGGUAAAAUCCGUUAAUAUCAGCAGGAACACCAAAUGCGAAGGCAACUUGCUAGAACAGUCCUGACGCUAAGGUACGAAAGCGUGGGUAGCGAAUGGGGGAUUAGAUACCCCAGUAGUCCACGCCGUAAACGAUGGAUACUAGGCAUUGGAAGUAUCGACCCCUUUCAGUGCCGGUGAACCAAGCUAACGCAUUAAGUAUCCCCGCCUGGGAGUACGGCCGCAAGGCUA
rnacentral:rRNA from 1 species